GAUGAACGCUGGCGGCGUGCCUAAUACAUGCAAGUCGAGCGAACGGACGAGAAGCUUGCUUCUCUGCUGUUAGCGGCGGACGGGUGAGUAACACGUGGAUAACCUACCUAUAAGACUGGGAUAACUUCGGGAAACCGGAGCUAAUACCGGAUAAUAUUUUGAACCGCAUGGUUCAAAAGUUAAAGACGGUCUUGCUGUCACUUAUAGAUGGAUCCGCGCUGCAUUAGCUAGUUGGUAAGGUAACGGCUUACCAAGGCAACGAUGCAUAGCCGACCUGAGAGGGUGAUCGGCCACACUGGAACUGAGACACGGUCCAGACUCCUACGGGAGGCAGCAGUAGGGAAUCUUCCGCAAUGGGCGAAAGCCUGACGGAGCAACGCCGCGUGAGUGAUGAAGGUCUUCGGAUCGUAAAACUCUGUUAUUAGGGAAGAACAUAUGUGUAAGUAACUGUGCACAUCUUGACGGUACCUAAUCAGAAAGCCACGGCUAACUACGUG
rnacentral:rRNA from 1 species